UUCCAGACUCCUACGGGAGGCAGCAGUGGGGAAUAUUGCACAAUGGGGGAAACCCUGAUGCAGCAACGCCGCGUGGGUGAAGGAGCGUUUCGGCGCGUAAAGCUCUGUCAGCGGGGAAGAAAGAAGACGGUACCCGACCAAGAAGCCCCGGCUAACUACGUGCCAGCAGCCGCGGUAAUACGUAGGGGGCGAGCGUUAUCCGGAAUUACUGGGUGUAAAGGGAGCGUAGACGGCGAAGUAAGCCUGAAGUGGAAGCCCGCGGCCCAACCGCGGAACUGCUUUGGGAGCUGUUUUGCUGGAGUAUGGGAGGGGUAAGCGGAAUUCCUGGUGUAGCGGUGAAAUGCGUAGAUAUUAGGAGGAACACCAGUGGCGAAGGCGGCCUGCUGGGCUUUUACUGACGCUGAGGCUCGAAAGUGUGGGGAGCAAACAGGAUUAGAUACCCCCGUAGA
rnacentral:rRNA from 1 species